GCAUAUCCUGAUCAAAGCCAGCUUCAAAGAAGAGGAGUUAGCCUUCGUCUAAGAUGGGCUUUGUCCUACUCAGAGAUGCCUCUUUGCAGAUGUGUGGAUAUUUUUCAACAGCAACUCUGUGGGGCAGUAAGAAGCACAGCAGCUGUGGACCGGUGUGAUCAAGGACACCUUUCAGUUGAUGUGCAUUCUCCAGCAAGCCUGCCAAUAAUACUUGGUAGUCAUCUCUGAACUAAACUUUCAUCCUGACUCCCUCUGUUUCCACAAGCAAAAUGACUCACUCAGAUUUCAUAGGCAAGAGACAGAUGAACCACCAUGAAGAUACACAGCUGGCUAAAAGUACACCAUCAGGUGAUCAUACUACAGUUAGAAACUGCUGAGAAAUACCAGAGGUUAAAAGGAAAUUCUGCCUUUCAGACCUAGUAACGUAAGAACUGUCUUAGAAUAGCACAGAAUUAGCAGAUUUUAAGCUUCAGGAAGAUGUAUUCCAAAUCACUGACCUUGGGGAGCUUAUGAAAUUUACCACAAUAACUUGGUCUUUCAGUUCUGCCUGGUGUGUCCCUAAGAAAGGAAAUUAGCUACAGUUUAGGUUUGGGACUAAAAGAGAUUUGUAGAUUCACAAUGGUUUCCUUGUGUCUAGUAGCUUUAAGAGGUAAGUCUUCUUUUGUUUCAAAGAUUAUUAUUAUGAGUAUUCAGCAAUAUAAUU